rnacentral:siRNA from 1 species
CACGUUUUGCUAUUCAUCCAGGGU